rnacentral:rRNA from 1 species
UCUUAGAGGGACACUAUACAUAAAGUGUAGGGAAGCUGGAGGCAAUAACAGGUCUGUGAUGCCCUUAGAUGUCCUGGGCUGCACGCGCGCGACACUGAUCGAUUCAGCAAGUGGCUAGGUCGAGAGAUUUGGCAACUCUUUUGAAAAUCGAUCGUGAUGGGGAUUGAUGUUUGGAAUUAUCAUCAUGAACGAGGAAUUCCUAGUAAACGCAAGUCAUCAACUUGCAUUGAUUACGUCCCUGCCCUUUGUACACACCGCCCGUCGCACCUACC